rnacentral:sRNA from 1 species
UGAUUAAAGGGAAAUGUAAAGGUUUUA